rnacentral:lncRNA from 10 species
GUUUAACCUACUUUGAGUUUGUUUCUGUCCCCUGCCCACAGGAGAGUCCUGACCAAUUCUCCAGGCUUAUAUAUACUUCUUCAUUUGAUUGCCUUCAAAAUGGUGGGGCUCAAGAAGACCAAAUCAUCUGCCCAAAGCCAUACAACUGGGAGAGAUGGCCCAUGCCCAGGAAGCUGCCCUGGACUCCCACAGACCCUGGACAAUGGGCAGGAAUGUUACUGUACAAGGGAGACCUCCAGCCUUUCACCACGGUAACUCUGCAUUGGGGAAAAAGAAAUGGUCGGAGAUUUCAGGGACUUCUGGACACUGACUCUGAGCCGAUGUUGACACCAGGGGACCCAAAACAUCAUUGUCAUCCUCCAGUUAAAAUAGGGGCUUAUGGAGGUCAGGUAAUUAACUGAGUUUUAGCUCAGGUUCUAUUUACAGUAUGUUCAGUGGGUCCCUGGACU